GUUGAUUUUAUUUUACAUUUAGAUUUUGACUUGGGAUUUACGUUUGUGUGAGGGAUGCAUUAAAAGCUGACUUCCCCCGUGCAGGUGGAAAACCAACCAUCCAGGCACCGACCACUGAGCAGUUCCGGCUUUCCCAGCUGCCGAACUGGCUCCUUUCCCACCGGCUGAAAACCUACAGCCACAGAUACCUCUCGAGCACCCUGGAGCGAGCAGAGUAAGCUUUCCAACCUGGGCUCCCUGUCCACAAGGGACAGCUACUGGCAGAGCCUUCUCCUGAUGUGGCAGGGGGCAUGCUGCACACACAAGUGCUCAGGGGCCAUCCGCUGUGGAGCAGGACACCCCUCGCCCCCGGAUGAUGAGCAGGCAGUGGGGGAGCCUGAGGGCCCAGUACUGACCUCAGCUGGGGGACAGCAGCCUGCUCAAGAAGGGGAAGCCCACUCUCCUCAGCUCGUCCAGCUUCUGCAGCAUGUGCACUUGGCUGUCAGGGCACCGCCCCUCUGCCACAUGGUAGAACAGCUCGCCGUUCUUCUUCUCCACCUGCUCCCGCAGGCAGCACCCCCGCUUUUGUUCUGCCAGGAGAAGCAGCAGGUCGAGGAGACCUCAGGCCCCCGACGCUGACAGGAUGACCCCGUUGAGGGACAUGGGGCUGGUGCUCACUCUGCACAGCUUCCACAGCUGGCUUUGGGGUGACAACUGUUGGAGGGGCAGAGAAGCUCUGGGAGGGCUUCUGAGGCACUGCUGUGAAUGAGAACUUGGGGGCUCUGGGCCAAGCCCUUGUCAGGCCCCAGACGGGUGGGCUCCAUGUCUCUCUACAGCCUCCUUCGCUCGACAAGCGCUGUGGGGACAGAUGGCCUCUCUCGAGUGUGCUUGGAGAAGAACCUGUAAGAAAGAAGUGAGCCGAUAAAUCUGCACGCCCCAAUCCUGGGGGCUAAAGUCCCCCACAGAAAUGCCACUCUUACCUAGCAAGCCCCCGGUGGGGGAAGUGAAGUCUCACCACCAGCAUCUACAGCAGACGUGUUUAUUUCUGCCUGGCUACCUGACAUUGUGGCGGCCACACUGUCUCCUAGAGUUCCUUCCAGACAUUGCUGCACCCACUCCUGACCGGCGGCUUCCUGGGAGGCCCUGGGUGCAGUCUCACCCUGCAGAGCGGCUCCCUUCAACCUGCGGGACUCUGGCUUGGCCCUCAGGUUUUCACUCAAGGACGGCAAUGAACUGGCAGCGACUUUCCCGUCUGCUUCACUCCCAUGGUCUCUCAGGGCCCCCAUGGGGAAAUGUUCACUACAGAGGAAAGAAUACUUAGUGGGGGUCCAGUUAUCCCUGUGAACAGCUUUUAACCACCGGAUCAGGUGUUUUCAGUCCUUUACGGGGAGCCUGCAGGAUAAAUGACAAAGUAGUUAGAACAAAAGAAUUAAAGGAUCAACUAUAAAAGCAAAACAAGUGUUUUUGCGAACACCUACACCUGUAGCAACUUUCUCCAUUUAAAUAUUUAGUACAGAUUUAAGGAACACCUUAACUUGCAAGUUAUUACUGGAACAGAAAGAUGAAAGACCCCCUGUCUACCUCAAGGAGCUUACAGUCUGUAGCGCAGAGGAAGGAAGGAAGGUGGGGAACUCCUCCCAGGCUGUGGUAAACGCCCUGAGGGGUACAGAUGCUCAGGCACAUAGCACAGGAUGGCAUCAAGACAACAGGAAAGGUUCCAGGAAGCCGCAGGAAUAGUUCCUAGAAGCUCACGGCUGACCAAUCCUCCUGCUGUGCCUGGGAUGCAGGGCAGGACUUUGGGUGCUAAAAUGGGGAGGGUUGGGCCCCUACUGCGAAGCCAGGCCAGAUGUCAGCCAGCAGAGCAUCCCAGACAGUCAGCAGGGUGCUGGCCCCAGCUGUGGCUCACACAGCUGAGGAUGCAAGACCACCUCCAAGACGAAGUGAGACUCAGAAGCUGUUCUGUGUUUCUGCACUACCAGGAGGAAAGCUGCUCGCUUUAAAAAAAGCAACUGGCCCGGAGAAGAUACUGACCAAGAUACUUAAUGAUCCCUUCUUCUCAUUAAGGUAAAAUCUCUACAUACACCCAACUGUGCUCGCGGGGAGGGUGCGGCGGACUCCCCGAGGGCUUUCUGCUCCACCGGAGGGCACCUAGCACCUUGAGGCUGCUGUGGACCAGGCCCAGGGUGGAUCCUACCUCUUCAGGAAGUUCUAAGCAAUGUGAUUUCCAAACUCAAAAUGCUGUGAACACGUUACCCAAAGAGCCAAGCCCACUAACACACACAGCGCGUUGGCCAUGAUGCAUACCAAGAGCAGCUUUCUUGGCAGCGCUGUACCUCAUUCUCAAAAGCAGUAACAAAACUUUGGGGACACAGGCUCUGAAGGGAACUGUCAAGAAAGCUCGGUGGCUGACGCCUGGAAUAAGCUCAUAUUACUAGCUCCUCGAGAGCUUAAGCAACUUAAGACUUAGAACAAAUCCCUGUAAACUUCCCAUAAGAGUACGGGUAACAAGCGCCAUUCAGGACUUUCACUGCGAUCACAGCCUGCAGCACGAAGGAGAAGGACCUGCCAGCAGUCUCUUCCGUUCACCGUUCUGGGGCGUCCAGGAGGCGGGCAAGGCCGCCGAGAAGGACUCGCUCAAACAGCUCAAUUCCAGGAGCCCUCACGAAGGGAGCCAGGCCGCGGGGAAGACACAGCCCUCAUGCGGGGCGGGAGCCCCCCGAAGAAGCGGCCAGGGAGCCCCGUCCCGCAGCCCGCGGGGGCGGCCCCGGGAGGAGGGCGCCCGCUCCCCCCGGGACCUCUCACACGCGGCACCGGGACUCACCUGCGGGCGCAGAGCCGCCUUUUCCCGGACUGCCGGGACCCCUCUACAAAGAGCGCCUGUGGGGCGAGGCCAUCCAGGAGGAAGAAGCUGCAUUCGCUCAGCCUCACCGCUGAUGCCAGAGCUCGAGGCAGGCUCCCCGCCAUCAAAAGAACCAAAACGUCACAGCAAGUGAAACGCAAGAGGCCAACUGAGGCAGGGAAGAGCGUCCCCAGAAUGACCUGUUCCUGGACGUCGUCGGCCCCAACCCGACCCAACGCAGAGCUGGGGCCGCGGGUCGGGGGUGAGAAGGCGGGGCGGGUCGUAAGCCGGGGCCGGCGGCCGGGCGUUGCCGCGGUGGCCCGAGGCGCCCGCCCCAGAGCCGGCGGCGCGGGACCCUGCCCCUCCCGCCGGGCGCCGGCUGUGCCGCUGGAGCGGCCGCGAGGCCCCAAGCGGGGGCUGACCGGGCGGCGGUUACCCGUGGCAGAACACGGCGGCUCCUCCGCGCGGCCCGGCCGUUGGGAGCGGUUCGCGGCCGCCCUAGAGUAGGGCUCGCGGCGACACGGCUACAGGACGCGGGAGCCGAUCCCUCUGUCCUCAGCGCGCCCGGCGUCGCGCAGCAAGGAGCGCCGAGCCCGGCCGCACGGCAAGAUGGCCGCGCCCGCGGGCCGGGCACAAGGCGGGCUGACGCGCCCUGUCCCGAGUCCGGGCGCCCAACCGCGUCUGCUUCCGCUGCCCAGACAGGUCGCUGCCGCCGUCCUCGGAGGGAACGACGCAGGACGGGUAGCCGACACCAGUCCCGGCCCUCCGCGCUGGGCCCCACCGUGCGCCAAGAGGGCGGCCGACGCACUUCUGCUCGCACUUCCGGCCCCGCCCAGCGUUUGCUCGUUGCUAUGCAAACCAGAGAAGCAGCUCAGACAGCACCAGGGAGCACCCUGUGUAUUUGGGCGUUUGGAAACAUGACCUGAAGUUCCUCACCGACGCCUGCCACACGGUGUGCCACGCGGUGCCACGUCCGCACCCGGAUCCGAAUCAGCGAACCACCGGCUGCGGAAGCAGAACGUGCGCACUUACCACUGCGCCCCUGGCCGGCCCCCAGGUUCUCUACAUCCGCACAUUCUGAGCACCAGCCCCUCUCCUUCUCCCGGAAUCUGAAUUCUUUCAAAAUCCACGAGCACCCUCCUUUCUGCCAAGAGCCACCCACCAGUCAGCUAAGCCUCUACCCAAGGGCAACGGUCUGGGAGAGAGAUGAGGGAACGCACGGCGGACCCUCAGAAGAUGGCGGUCGGCCGCUCCUGAUCCUACUCAUGCUACUAAUCUUAGCAAUAUUGCUCUUGCUGUUCUUUUCCUGUACAUGGGGAUAUCUUGGGGAAAAUCUCUCCAAGCAGGGGAAAGAAGCUGGUGUAACCUGGCCUUCUAGGGAAGGUUCAGGGGAGCAACAGCCUGAAGGGAAAAAACGUUCUGACCCCCUCCUGGAAAGGCGGUAAGGGAAUUUGGACAGCCCUCAAGGAGGAAGCCUUCUAAUAAUCAGCCUCUAAGGAGAACAUUCCCUCCUCAGGGCCUUCUAGGAGGUAGAUAUUAUCCUAGGCCUGUUAGGACAGGAGAUAAAUGAUGGCACCCACCCAGGAACAGAGGCAUGCAAAAACUACCCCUUCCUAAGGCAACUCACAAUCCUGAUAAAGUUGCAAAGAAAUAUCAUAAUAUAUUGACACAGGGGAACUGGGA
rnacentral:lncRNA from 1 species